GACGAACGCUGGCGGCGUGCUUAACACAUGCAAGUCGAACGAAGAGCGACGGAAGCUUGCUUCUAUCAAUCUUAGUGGCGAACGGGUGAGUAACGCGUAAUCAACCUGCCCUUCAGAGGGGGACAACAGUUGGAAACGACUGCUAAUACCGCAUACGAUCUAAUCUCGGCAUCGAGGAUGGAUGAAAGGUGGCCUCUACAUGUAAGCUAUCACUGAAGGAGGGGAUUGCGUCUGAUUAGCUAGCUGGAGGGGUAACGGCCCACCAAGGCGAUGAUCAGUAGCCGGUCUGAGAGGAUGAACGGCCACAUUGGGACUGAGACACGGCCCAGACUCCUACGGGAGGCAGCAGUGGGGAAUCUUCCGCAAUAGACGAAAGUCUGACGGAGCAACGCCGCGUGAGUGAUGACGGCCUUCGGGUUGUAAAGCUCUGUUAAUCGGGACGAAAGGCCUUCUUGCGAAUAGUGAGAAGGAUUGACGGUACCGGAAUAGAAAGCCACGGCUAACUACGUG
rnacentral:rRNA from 1 species